rnacentral:lncRNA from 1 species
CGGCUGACCAGUGGCGCGGCAGGCGGGGCGGGGGCCAGGAGAUUUUCUAUUUUAUUUAAAUAGAGACGAGAUCUCACUAUGUUUGCCUAGGCUGGUCACGAACUCCUGAGCUCCAGUGAUUCUCCCGCCUCGGCUUCCCAAAGUACUAGGAUUACAGGUAUGAGCCACCGCGCCCGGCCAGCUCUUCUGUUUUAAGGACGGUGCUUGCUGCACUUGAGCUGUGGGAAGGCAGGGCUGGCCACUCAUUCUUCUACCUUACUCAGACUUGGAACGAGUGCUCAGCGUUUGAGUAAAAUGCUGCCUGACUCCGGGGGUCCUGUUCCUUGGCUCCCCAUCCGCCAACUGUACAGAUAGAGCAGGUGCACAGCUUGGGAUGAAUCUCUUUCUGUGCCAGCCCUUCUAAGGGCAGAUGAACAGUCGUUAUUUUACUUUUAAAGUACCAAGAGGAAACGAGACAAGAAUGACAAAAUCACCGAGGCAGGAACAGGAAGGCUGUGGGGUCGGAGGAUUGAGGAAAGGCAAAACCCUCAUGCUAAAGCGGCUUCAGCCCAACUCCAGACAAGAACAGUCCCCUUUCCUGGGCCUCCAUUGCCUGCUCUGGAAAGAGAAGAGUCUCCUGCUCUUCCACCCUCCUGGAGACCACGGUGCUGGCCAUUAUCACUCCUAGGUUUAGACUGCAAGCUCUUUGAGGACAUGGACAAGCUCUCCAGAGCCUGGUACCGAGCCUGGCUCUGGUCUGAGUGUCUGCUGGAUGGAGCAAUGAAAGGAGAAUUCAAAUCAGACGUAGGGGCAGCAUCCAGGUAGGGGAAGGGCCUCUCUGACUCCUCAUCUCUGGGAUGCGCAACUCCAGAAUUCUGUCCUAACCACUUCUAUGGAGUUGCCACAUCCUACCUCCUCCAUUGCACAGCCUGCUUCCCCCUCUCCGGGGGUCCUGGCAGACAGGGGGGUCUGGCCUUGCUGGGGUCGGGGGGGAGUCCAGGUCCCCUCCCAGGAUGUGCUGAGUGGAUAUGUGAGGCUCAUGCCCACAGGCUGACUGAAGGCAGGCCCCUCUUAAACUCUGCAUCCUCUGGGGGCUGGGAGCAGGCAGAAUAAUGGUCGCUACAGGAAUUCGGUACUAAUGCUUGGAAUCUGUGACUGUUAUCUACAUGCAAAGACUUUGCAGAUGUGACUAAAGAUUUUGAAAUGAGAUUAUCCUAGAUUAUCAGGGUGGGCCCUAAGUGUAACACAAGUAACCCUUUAAGAGAAAGAUAGGGGCUGGGCACUGUGGCACACGCCUGUAAUCCCAGCACUUUGAGAGGCUGAGGCAGGUGGAUUGCUUGAGCUCAGGAGUUUGAGACCAGCCUGGCCAAAUUAGUGAGACCCCCCCCCCCCACCACCCAUCUCUAAAAAAGAAAAACAAAAAAAGAAAAUAAUUAGCUGGGCAUGGUGGUGUGUACCUGUAAUCCCAGCUACUCAGGAGGCUGAGGUGGGAGGAUAGCUUGAGCCUGGGAAGUCAAGGCCACAGUGAGCCAAGAUCAAGCCACCACACUCCAGCCUGGGUGACAGAGCAAGACUCUGUUUCAAAACAAACAAAAAACCAAAGAGAGGCAGAGAAGACGAGCAGAGGGCAAUGUGACCAUGGAGGAAGAGAUUGGAGUGAUGAAGCCACAAGCCAAGGAAUCAGAAUAAUAAUAAGUGUCCUGUGUGCCACACCAAUGAGCUCUGUGGCCUUGGACAAGUCAAUGGGGCUCUCUGGCCUUCAUUUUCUCUUGCAUGAGGGUCACAUGGGCAAAGGACUUCUGAACUACUUCAUCCCAAAGGGGUUUUAUCACCAUGAUCUUUGCGGGGAGACGGGAGGAGGUUGGGCCCUUGGUUUGUCCUGGACCCAUCAUCUGUCAGGUGGGCUUCUCUGUGCUGCCAGAGAGCAGGGCCUCCCCUCUAACACCCCACGUGAUGGUGGAAUGUGCUGUGUGCCUGUCUGCCUCCCCCAUGGACACUGGACAGUGACAGGUCGUGGUGGGUGUUCAGCGUCCUAUGAACACGAGUUAAGGAAGAGCCUCCAGUCACCUGCCUGCAACCCAGGAACUCGCUUGGCAGCUGUCAGAGGGCGGUAACCUCAGGGGAGCUUGGCGACCGACCCUCCCUCCAACUCCCGGGGGCUGUUUCUCUGCACCCUUGGGGAUCUGAUGUGGGCUCCCUAUUCCACCCCACCCAGUCUGGUGACAAAGGCUGCGUAUUUACAGAAUCUUUCAUCCUAAGAGCUCAAAGAGCUCCAUCACCAGGUGACAACCGCAGUUAAACUCAUUUUAUGGAAGAAGGCUACUCUGAGGAGUGCAGGCGUGGGAUCCAGGUUACAAAGUGGGUCAGCUAGGGUGCCAGGAACACAACGUGGGUCCCUGACUGAGGGGGACAGUCUUAGGCAUGCAGAGAUUUGGCCAGACUCUUAUGGGUGACUGUGCCUUAGUCACCUCUGUCCCCCACACCUAUUACAGUACCUGGCUCCUAAUAAAUGCUCAAUAAACGUUCAUCGAGCGACUGCCUGACUGCAGCUUCCCAGUCUUAAAUCACCAGCUCCCCAGUGUGGUUGCAGACGCAGAUCUCCUGCAGGCCUCACCUGCACUCCUGGGGCCUCACCCCAAGGCCUCUCCUACUCCUGAGCCCUUACUCAGGCUGUGCCUCAGCCUGGAACGCCUUUCCUUGUUUCUCUGCCUGAUGACAUUCUAAUCUUUUGGCCGGGUGCAGUGAUGAAUGCCU